UGUGACGGGGAAACUUGGUUUGGACAAGCCAAAGCAUUUUAAGCGAGUCUAAAUUCCGAUGCAUAGAUUCGCUGUAACGAAAUUCAGAUGGAUUUGAAGCCAGAGAGAAAAUGGGAAUGUCUCAAGUGCUCGAAAAAGUUCAAGAAAAAAUUCCACCUUAAUCAACACGUCAUCACGCACGAUCCCAAUGCAAAGGUGAAAUGCGAGGUUUGCGGGAAAAUUUCUAAAAACCCACUCGCCUUGGCUGACCACGUGAGAAGAGUUCACACCAACCGAGAACAUCUCAAUUGUGACGUCGGUCAUCAGGGGUUUCGGGAUUCCCGCACUUUACAGAGGCACAUAAACGCCCUGCACGGAUCGAGGGAACGAUCUCGUUUCCAAUGUGGAUUUCCCGGCUGUGAAAAAUCAUACCUAAGUCAGCGCCAUAUUUCGCGACAUAUAAAAACUGCACAUGUAAAAACUGAGUAUCCGGCCAAAUUUCCGUGCACACUUUGCGGUAAAGAAUUUAAAUGGAGAACAAACCUUGAUCUUCACAUUAGGACUCACACGACCGAAAAGCCGUUCAAUUGUGCCACUUGUGGGAAGAGUUUCGCACGACGUAUCGUAUGACGUGAAGCAACACGAGGUGACACAUUUGGAAAAACCUUUACGACACAUUUUUAAGUGUACCCUCUGUCCGCUGACUUACUUUAGUAGACUUGCUUUACUAAAGCAUGGCCGGGUUGUGCACGAAAAUCAGAGGAAACAUUGCUGCACAUUUUGUGGAAGAAGGUUCUCUGCGUCCCAUCACUUGAAACGGCACGUGGUGGCGAAACACCCCACGAACGAGGAGAAGAUUCAUUCCUGCGACAAAUGCGAGUACAUGAGUCAUUCGAAGGCCGAUUUAGCCAUGCACAAAAGACGACACAACGCUAAUCGUAAGAAGCAUGAGUGUUACUUUUGUGGGAAAAAAUUCGUUUCUUUUCGAUAUUUUGUCACCCACUGUGGCCGCAAACAUACCUUGGAGAAGAAAUAAUUUGUAUAUCUUAACUAAACUAUCUACAUAUAUAUUUACUGUUCGAUUAAAGAAUAUGAAUUGAAUUUACAUUUCAUUCCUUCCGACUCACCCCCUGAGCUCUCAUAUGAUCUUGGUAAUAAGUAUGUUAUUAUAAGUAAAGUACUUUCUACAUAAUUGUUAAUCAAGUAUUUCUCAGUCAAAUAGAGUAUACAGAAAUUGACUUUGUUCUACCUGGG